CACAGAAUGCCUUUUAGGUGGAAAGAUGACAAAUAAAGGAUACUGUCCCUGCCCUUCUAUAUCUAAUUCAUGAUAUUAACAGAACUGUCAAUAUUCUGGAUGCAACAGAAACCUGACUUGCCAGCUGGAUCAUUGGCAAAGGAGUCAGAAUAAGUGGGUAAUGCAACUACACACACGGAGACAAUUUUGAUGAAGGUAUGAGUUUGCUUCUUAUCCCUUGUCUACUGAAAAUCCUCACACCGUGGAGUGGAGAAAGUUUUCAAUAAAAGGUUGGGGGAAGGACUUGCUUCUCUAAUCAUGGACCAGAAGUGCCUCCUGUAGAUUGCAGAAGAAAAGGCUAGGUCUCGUUGCUCCUCCUUCACUGUCUCCACGGACAGCCUGUGGUUUAAUGGAGGGAGAACUCAGUGUCGUGAUCAUUUCAUCUUUUGAUACGCUAAGAUUUGUUAUACAGGAAUGGUAGGACUUAUGUUGAAGCGGGAAAAUCCCUCAAAAAUGAGUGAAACCACAGAAACGCAUGUCUCUUGUACAUACUAGAUAUUCAAUGAAUAUAUAUUGAAUAGACUAAUGGAUAAUAAAUGAUUCAUAGAGUCUUGCCUCAGCUUUUCUCU